UCCCCGCCUGUUUCCAAUCCAACCCUCUGUCAUCUCUCUCUUUCCUGCCACUCCCUCCUUUCCCUUUUGCAGCCCCCUGUAUCCUCCUGCUACCCCCUGUGUCCCCUCCAUGCCCCAUUGCCCCCUUCCUCCACAGUGACCCAUCCCUCCCCCUGGCCUCCCAGUCAGUCGCACCUCUUGGAGCUCCAUGCUCAAUGGGGACAACUUGGGGACAUUCAGGGGGUCGAAUGAGCCUUGGGAUGUCCUUGAUGGCUCUUUGGCACUGCUUGGCCACCCCACAGGAGCAGGGGCUGUCAAGACCACCAUUGAAAAAGAAUUUGAUUGUGUCUGGAAGUGUCUUCCCCAGGUGAUCCUUGGCCAGGCGGGCGUUGGCCUCCCACAGCCGCUCGGCCACGGCCACCUUGGCCACCAAGUCCUCAGGGACAUUAAGGGAUUGCUUCUUUGUCUCCUUCAGGAUGCCUUCGGUGUCCCUGAGCAGGCACUGCAGCUCCCGGGGGAACGCGGUGGCUUCGUCACACGCGGCCACCAAGCGCUCCAGCAGCCCCAGGGCCACCUCCACCCGCUGUCUCACCAUGGUGGCCCUUGUUUACUCGCUGGCAGCCACCCUGGCCUCUCUCCUCACCUGGGCUCCAUGCCCAGCCACCACCUCGGCCCCCUCCUCCCAGCCCAGGGCCUGACCCAGCUCCACCAUGUUUUCCUGAGCUGUCCCAUCACAGGCAGCCUCUUCCUGCAGCUCCCUGGCCCAGGUGGUGGCUGUGGCCGCCCUGUCGGCCGCCUUGGUGGCCAAAUCCCUGCAGGUGCUGUGGAGCUCAGUGGCUGUCCUGGCCAGCUCAGCCCAGCUAUUCAUCAGCACAGACACCGACCCCUGCCACUCGCUGGCUGCCAUUGUCACAUGGUUCCGGGGGAUCCCUGGGGUGCUCUUGUAGGCAGCCAGGGCCCGGCUCAGGGAGGUGACAGGGUCAUCAUCAUCUGAUGUGACAUUGCCUCCAGGUGUCAUCAGUGCUGUAGAGGGUGUCCCAGAGGUUGCUGGUGAAAACUUCCAGAUACCCAUACAGGCACCCUGGGAACACGAGCAGAUUCAUCUCCUCGUCCUGCCUGGGCAGGGUGCCCAGCAGCUCACCCAGGAUGGCCACAACAGUGACCUCUGGCUGCAGCAGGGCCGGGGACAGCUGGAGAGGGGACAGGAGAGGAGUCAG
rnacentral:lncRNA from 1 species